rnacentral:misc_RNA from 1 species
CCAGAGUUUAUCUCGCAACCCUUUGUGAACUCAUAACGUUGCUUCGGCGGCGCUGCCCCCCGUGGGAGUGCCCGCCGGCAGUACCAGCUUCUCGUUUCGGACCCGACGAUACCUCUGAGUGUUCUAAGCGAACUGUAA